UGGUCUUGACAUCCCGGGAAUCUCUUAGAAAUAAGAGAGUGCCUCAUUAGAGGAGCCUGGUGAC
rnacentral:rRNA from 1 species